AUGAAUCAUGAGGAUUCGGAAACAAUGCACCCUGUUCAAAGGGUGAACCGUGGUUCUCAGCAAUUGUUUCUUAUUGAUCCGUCUUUUCUUCCCGGGACAACUGCAUACUUUGGUUUACUCAAUGUGUUACACCAUGUAUUUGUUUUUUCACUUCCUGCCGGUGCUGAACUCUUUUGCUUGGCCAUGAGAAGGGCAGACCUGCCAAAUUUAGUUGCAAGUAAAGAUGCAGAUUUUUCAUAUGUUGAUGCUGUUUUUUGUUGCUUGGCACAUGUAACAACACAGGUUGUAUAUGGUUUGACGGAGGUUCUUCGAGAUGAAAUAAGAGAUGUGCGGCUUGUUGCCAACCCCCGCAUCUAUUCAGCUCCCUCUUGUUGCUCUAAUUAA
rnacentral:rRNA from 1 species